rnacentral:tRNA from 1 species
GCCUGGGUAACUCAGUCGGUUAAGCUUCUGACUUCGGCUCAGAUCAUGAUCUCACAGUUCGUGAGUUCAAGCCCCGCACCAGGCU